AUUAAUAACAUUAUAUAUCCUCGUUAAGAAACAAAAGUUUCCUUUGAAAACUGGAAUUAAUACUCAGCAAAAACAACGAGCCUCUCUUCUUCUCUCCCUGUUUCCAUUUUACCACAAACCAAACAAAUGCAUUUCUUUACCAGGUUCUACAAGAAAUGGAGGAAAAUGAAAUGCAAGGAGCAUCAUAAAUCUAACACCCAUGCAAACAAUCGAUCACACCCUAAAUCCCAAAUUUCCCAAAUUGAAACCUAUCCCUCAAACCAGAUCGCACACAAAUGGAGGAAAAUGAAAUGCAAGGAGCUCCGAUGGUACAUUCAAAGCAAUAAUCGAGAUUGACACACUCAUUCAACAAAUAUCAAGUUAUUAUACAGUAUGGUGAAAGUCGAAACACCGAUUCAAUAUUGAGUGAAUAACCACUAUGUUAGAGAUUUUAGCAUGAAGUGAGUAAAUGGGGAAGAAGAAGUACCGACGGAAGGAGAUCUGAAGCUUUCAACCACUUAGACUCCGAUGACUCUUCGAGCAAAAAUCUCUCCAAGUCCCCGUGGCUUCAGCUCAGUUUUCUCAAAGUUCUAAUGAUGAACUUUGAGUGAACUUUGGGAGUAUUGAGCUUUGGUGAAUGGGUGUGAGGGAAAUCUCAGCAGAGUAACGGUGUAAAAAUUAGGUUUCUUCUUCAUCAUUCGAGGUCCCUAUUUAUAGCAUUUUGUACGAGGUUCAUUCUUUCUCCUCUUUCAUGAGUUGGCGAAUUUUGGAAGAAUCAUUCCGUUAGCUAGCAGGAUUUUUCCCAGAUUUGGUGGUCCUCCAAAUUGAUGUGGUCCCUCAAAUGAAAGGAUAAGGUUUUGUCUGUAGUGAAUCUACGUUUUGCUCCUUUUGGUACAGGGUGGUUGAUAGAAUUUAUGGGCAACUCUGUCAUGAUUUUAAAUGAAGGCGUGAGGUAGGCUGAGCCAAUAUUGGAGCGGAGUAUAUCUGCAAAUUCUGAAACUCCCUUUCAAAUGAUACAGACGGACAUGGAUGGUGAUUGCGAGGUUAUGGUAACAAAGAUCGACUCAUGUGUAUUGCUAUCAGCUUGUGCGUCUGAUCUGCUUCUGCAGCAGCAAAAGAUCCAAGGGAUUGGAUUUUACCCAAUGCUUUCUGUGUAGCUGCGAGCCUCAGGUAACUAGUUCAUAUUCAUCCUGUGCUUGGUAUGUUUUGUGUUUAUUAACUUCCUUCACAAUGUCGGAGCAAGUGUAGCAAUACAUUUCUUUCACUUUCCGAACCGCUUCAAAAAAAGUCUUCUGGAGGUAUAUUCUUUCCUCUUUCUCGCAUGAGCUGCCAGACAACAAGAGUAACAUCCUUUCCAUCAAUGGGAACUGACUCGAUGUCACUUCCAAUAACAUAACCAUCCGCAACUGGUACAACAUGUGUAGUUACAUGGCGUCCCGAUUCUCAACCUGACCAUGCUUAAUCGGGUAGGUGAGAUUAUAAGUGCUACUAGACCAAGCCUUAGAAAGUGCGUCAUCUCCAAUGAAGAAAUCAAGAUCAACCAUGACACUGACAUUAUGCUGUGCAAUCCAAUUUCCCUCGGAAGAACUCCUUGAUUGAUUCAGAAGCGACUUAUUAAUUGCAACAAUGGUAGGGACCAUAAAGCAAGGUUCAACAUUACUAGCAAGUCCCUUGGCAGCCUUUGAUUUUAUGUAUCAGGUCUCCGUUUUGGAUGAUGUUUACGGAUAACAGACCAUGGCAUGCCGCAGGUCUGAUGUACUUGGCCUUGAAUGGCAAUGCAAGUGCAGUUGCCCUUGAGCAUACAUGGAUGAAUUUCCUCUUUGAGAUGCUCCUCAUGGCUUGUGGCUUCGUUCUCAUAACAUGCUUUUGACACAUUACACGACUUCCAUAGGAUGCAGAAUGUUUGUAUUGAUCUUCUACUGUUGCUCACAUGUUAUUCAUAUGGUUGCCCACAUGUUUUUCAUAUUGUUGCUCAAAUGUUGUUUAUGUUCACUAUGAGUGUAGGCAAAUUGUCAUUGCGUAUGUCUGUAAGGUUUUGAACUGGUUUUGGACAGGUUAAAACAUCUUAUACAGGUGGAUCCACAACUUAACGGGAAUGGACCGGACACGGAAGAUACACAAUUAGAUGCGCUUUAUUCAGAACUUAAUCUUUCUUGACUCAAGUGAUAUAACAUGGACAAUUGAGGCUUAGGUCUUUUUUUUAGGAAAUGGUCAAUAACUGGUUUGUUGGAAUUUGGCCAACCUUUGUAGAGGAUUUGUCAAUUCCUUAUGAUUUUGUAAUGAUGAUUUGUAAUGGAAUUUCUGAAAAGUGAAUUGUAAUUGUAUGAUUUUUAAAGGUGCAUGAAACAGUUAUUGUGAAGUGAAAUGUAGACAGAAAAUGGUUACGGAAAUCAGGAUUGUUUCAGAUUAGUGUUGUAUGCAAGAUACUUUUGCUGGAGGUUGAACCCGGCUGCAAUUCACCUUCGCCGUGACAUCAUUAUUCACAGCUUGCCUUGUGCUGUAGUUUGGAUCAUUUGUAGCCUCAUCUUGCUUUGGCUACGUUUGUUGGUGUGUUCAUAGCAGGGCUUAUGUUGGCGACACAUUAUGCGGCAUGAUUAUCACUCACACCUUGGUCUGUUUGUCUUUUUGUUAGUGUUUAUGGCAGGAUGGUUCAAACGGUCAUGUUAACACGGUUGGAACAAAGUGUCCGCACACCAAUGGCUUGUACAAAGAUCAAAGUUUCUAAUUGGUAACUUGGGAUAGAGAUGAGUUGUACUCUUUGUCAAUAAUACCGAACUCCGUAGUUUUGUUUCAAAUAAUGCACUAUUAUGGAUUGUAAUGAUGUUUGUUUA